AAAGUACUCCCUCCGUUCGGAAUUACUUGUCGCAGAAAUGGAUGUAUCUAGACGUAUUUUAGUUCUAGAUACAUCCAUUUCCGAGACAAGUAAUUCCGAACGGAGGGAGUAUGAA
rfam:Triticum aestivum genome assembly, contig: Triticum_aestivum_CS42_TGACv1_scaffold_584597_7BL